UACGUAGGUGGCAAGCGUUGUCCGGAUUUAUUGGGCGUAAAGCGAGCGCAGGCGGUUCCUUAAGUCUGAUGUGAAAGCCCACGGCUCAACCGUGGAAGGUCAUUGGAAACUGGGGAACUUGAGUGCAGAAGAGGAGAGUGGAAUUCCAUGUGUAGCGGUGAAGUGCGUAGAUAUAUGGAGGAACACCAGUGGCGAAGGCGACUCUCUAGUCUGUAACUGACGCUGAGGCUCGAAAGCGUGGGGAGCAAACAGGAUUAGA
rnacentral:rRNA from 1 species